CGCCGCCCCCCCCGCCCCCCGCUGCCCCCGUCCGGCCCACGCCCAGAGGCCGCCCCGGAGGCCUCUGCCAAACGCCAGGUCUGAACAAAAUUAAGAAGAAGGAGCUUCUACAAUCACAGCAGAUGAAGAUCCACUGGUAAAUCGAUCAGGAUUUUUGGCCUGCCCUCCAAAGAAAAGGCUCCUGUUUUCUUCUCUCUACAAGCAAUGUAGACCCAGC